rnacentral:misc_RNA from 1 species
AUGUCAGCUGUUUCAGGUUCAAUAUGGAUACGGAAUAACAGUCCGGCCAAGCGAGCGUACGUGUUUGGAGGGUAAUUCUUCCAAGGUCGUAUAAUCCAACGAAAGUUAUAUCUAAAAGGCAGUCGUCUGAUUUAUGCAAAAUCUAGCGCGCAACGUUGAUGUGUUGACACAGGGAUUUAAAUACGGAAUAUCUGGACUCAUGAACCUUGCAAGUCAAACCUCGGAUCCUCAGAGUGGUGUUUUCUUUGUUAAUUUCAAUCAAGAUUGCACAUCCCUCGCAGUUGGCACGAAGUCUGGCCACAAAAUCUUCUCGCUCAACUCUGUUGAUCACCUGGAAAAAAUUUAUGAAAAUGAUUCUGAAGACAUAUGCAUUGUCGAGCGGCUGUUCAGCAGCAGUCUUGUGGCAGUGGUCAGCCUCUCCUCCCCCCGUAAGCUGAAAGUAUGCCAUUUUCGUAAAGGGACUGAAAUCUGCAACUACAGUUAUUCCAAUACCAUUUUGGCUGUGAAAUUGAAUAGAGCGAGACUGGUGGUAUGUCUCGAGGAAUCACUCUACAUUCACAAUAUCAGGGAUAUGAAGGUGCUUCAUACAAUCCGUGACACACCUCCGAAUCUCGCGGGACUCUGUACGCUCUCCAUAAACAGCGACAGUUGUUACCUCGCCUAUCCUGGCUCAAACACAAUAGGAGAAGUACAGAUAUUCGAUGCCAUCAACCUUCAAGCCAAGACGAUGAUACCAGCACAUGACAGCCCUUUGGCAGCUCUUGCCUUUAAUCCAUCAGGAAAUAAAGUAGCGACGGCUUCAGAAAAAGGAACUGUUAUCAGAGUUUUCCAUGUACACGAUGGUGCUAAAUUAUUCGAAUUUCGACGAGGUGUUAAGAGAUGCGUAUCUAUCAGCAGCCUUGCAUUUAGUAUGGACUCUCUGUUUCUUUGCUGUUCGAGUAACACUGAAACUGUGCACGUUUUCAAACUGGAAGAACCAAAAGAAGCACCAGCUUCAGAGGAAGUUCAAAGUUGGAUGGGCUUUUUUACAAAAGCAGUAUCGGCAUCAGCGAAUUAUUUGCCAUCUCAGGUAACUGAUGUUUUCAAUCAGGGACGUGCUUUUGCCAGCGUACAUCUACCUUUCCAGGGACUGAGAAAUGUUUGUGCCAUCACUACGAUACAGAAAGUGUUGAGGCUAUUAGUGGCCAGUGCAGAUGGAUAUCUCUACGUUUAUAAUCUUGAUAUGGUAGAAGGGGGAGAUUGCACUCUACUGAAACAGCACAGGCUGGACGGCAAGCCGGAUGAAAUAGAUGGUCCAACCGUAUCUACAACAGCAUCUGCAACUGUAGAAACACCUGCGGCAGCUCAAACAGUACAAAACACAGAUACGAUACAAUUGCAGCACAUCCUACUUUGUUGACAAUUGAUUUAAAUGCUGCAAAUUGAAGGAAUCAAAUACCCUAUCAGUCAUUUUAUGUUAUUUGCUGUACCUACAGCGUAACAAUGAAAAUGUCUGAUUUGCAAUCAGUCAAGAAUUCUACGUGAGAGAAGCGCAGACAGAUUAGGCUGCAUAAAUAGCUACGCGGGUGCAUUGCGCGGCCGCUCGCCAGACGCCAUGUCAGACUCAGAAAAGUUUCACGAGAUGGUAGCUGCUACGGAAAGUCCACCCAAGGGCGGUUUUCGUUUGGAUGACGACACCGAGUUUCCACCGGUCACACAAAGGACUGAUUGAAAACUAUCUUUGACAUAUCUUUAAGGGAUUUUGUAAUGAUAAAAUAAUUCAACACGUG